rnacentral:lncRNA from 1 species
GAAUAGGAUUGGUCAAGCUUCAAGCUUCAAGACUCUACAUUUUCUAUUUUGUGAGAAAUCACAUUUGAGUCCAUAGGAAGGCCAAUACUAUUAAGAAGGGAUGAGGUGGCUAUGAUGAUCUGGUUGCUCAAGUGCUUCGAGAUUAGCCAUAAAAAAUACUCAUAAAAUUCUUCCACAAAAAUUCUGCCCAAACCAUAAAGUCAAAUUCAAUGCCACCAAGUUUUCCAUUUGGCCCCACCGAGUUUACCCUAGAUAGAUCCAGAGCUAAACACUAGUAAUCUCGAUACCAUCAAGUUUGGUUUCGCUCUGACCAAAAAACAGUGACCAACUCUAUGGUUAGCCAUUUGCUAAAGUAGGAAUUUUUUAGUUCUGCAAAUCGGUGCCACCGAGUCUGUUAACUGCCUAGGCCAGCCAAAAUCGAACCCUCUGGAAUUCAUAUAUAGGUCUCACCAAAAAUCCUAAAGUUGCCACAUUUUGCAGUAGUCGAUGCCACCAAGUUUUUACUUCGGUAUCACCGAGUUGGGCAAUAACAUUGUAACGACUGGAUUUUUGGAGAUGCCUAUAUAUACCCCUCCACGAACCUCUCUUCAAAGAGGAAGCACUCAGAACGAACCAACACUUGCCCCAUGCAUUUUCUAAGAAAGAACCACCUACUCAUGUGUUGAGAGCAAGAUAUUCCAUCCCUACCAUAUGAAUCUUGAUUUCUAGCCUCCCCAAGUUGCUUUCCACCCAAUCAAUCUCUUCUACCCAUGCCAAAUCUGCGAGAGUGUGAUUGAGUGUUGAGGAGACUAUCUUUUGAAGCACAAGAACAAGGAGUUCAUCAUACUACCACAUAUAUUACCUUUUGGAGAGUGAUGUCUCCUAGAUUGGUGAGGUGUCGCUUGGGAGACUCCUACUUCGUG